UACGUAGGGGGCAAGCGUUGUCCGGAUUUAUUGGGCGUAAAGAGCUCGUAGGCGGUUCGGCAAGUCGGGUGUGAAACCCCCAGCUCAACCUGGGGACGCCACCCGAUACUGCUGUGACUUGAGUCCGGUAGGGGAGCGUGGAAUUCCUGGUGUAGCGGUGAAAUGCGCAGAUAUCAGGAGGAACACCAGUGGCGAAGGCGACUUCCUGGCCUGUUCUUGACGCUGAGGCGCGAAAGCUAGGGGAGCAAACGGG
rnacentral:rRNA from 1 species